AAAAUUUUGCCUCUUUAUUAUUAGGUACAUAUAUUAACCAACAAUGAUGGUAGUUUCAGGAAAAAAAAAUCCAGCCAAUGUUUGUUGGAAUUGAUAUUAGCGCAGUUGGCAUUCAAUUUCAAGUGUUCAUUUUUGGAAUGGUAAUGCUUAGUUAAGGACGUCCGGCCGUCCGGACGGACCAAUCUUUCCACGUGUUACGAGUAAUAAUUAAAAAAGUGGCGUGUAGUUAGGAAUUUGCACCAUCUUCCACAUGAGAGCGCGUGCGCGUGCGUCCACUGGUUCGUUGGGUGUACAUGUGGCGCAGAGUGGUCAGACUGCCAACUGCGUUUGCUGUUGGUUGGACCAACUGUAACACCCUAAAAAAUUGUUUUAUGGGAAAUAGAGUUAAAAUGAUUUAAUUAUAAAUUUUUGGUGCUCAUGAAACCUAGGAAAUAAUAUUUUUCAUCAAAACAAAAUUUAUCUUAGGGUGUAGCAAUAUUUUUGUGCACUCAUGCUUCUGCAUUUUGGUUUAUUGUGCUGAGUGUUUUUGAACUCAAAAUUCAAAAGAAUUUAAAAGAUUUUUUAAAUGAGUUUCAAAUGGCUUUGAAAUAAAAAAAACAAACAAAAAGAAAACAAACAAAAGAAAAAGGAAAAGCCUUCCCCUUCUGUUUCCCUUUGGCCCAGCAGAUCAGCAGCAGCUCAGCAGCGCGCGACCCGUUUUUCCCUAGCCCAGCUUUUCUCCCCUCUCUCUUGGCCCAUGUCGCAGCGACGGCCCAGCCAGCAGCCGAGGCCCAAGCUUCCCCCUCCCUCUUCUCUCGGUGACAGACAGCCGGGUCCCACUCUCCUUUCGCUGACGCGUGGGGCCCCCGGGACAGCGCCUCCAUCCCCUUCCCUGCGCCGUGGUCGACAUGAACUCUGCGCAGCCGAUCUCGAUUCCGAAAACGGUGGGAUCGCCUUGCCCUUUUCGCCAACCAAGCCCCUAUAAAGCAACUCCUCCAAGGCCGCAGCUUCUGUUUGCA
rnacentral:lncRNA from 1 species